rnacentral:rRNA from 1 species
AUGUCAGCGUACAGCGAAAGUGUUAAGUAUUCCACCUGGGGAGUACGCCGGCAACGGUAAACUCAAAGGAAUUGACGGGGGCCCGCACAAGCGGAGGAACAUGUGUUUAAUUCGAUGAUACGCGAGGAACCUUACCCGGGCUUGAAAGUUAGUGACGGCGGAUGAAAGUCUGCUUCCCUUCGGGGCACGAAACUAGGUGCUGCAUGGUUGUCGUCAGCUCGUGCCGUGAGGUGUCGGCUUAAGUGCCAUAACGAGCGCAACCCUUGCCGUUAGUUGCCAGCGGGUGAUGCCGGGAACUCUAGCGGGACUGCUACUGUAAGGUAGAGGAAGGUGGGGAUGACGUCAAAUCAGCACGGCCCUUACGUCCGGGGCGACACACGUGUUACAAUGGUGAGUACAGAGGGUUGCUACCCCGCGAGGGGAUGCUAAUCUCGUAAAACUCAUCUCAGUUCGGAUCGGAGUCUGCAACUCGACUCCGUGAAGCUGGAUUCGCUAGUAAUCGCGCAUCAGCCAUGGCGCGGUGAAUACGUUCCCGGGCCUUGUACACACCGCCCGUCAAGCCAUGAAAGCCGGGGGCGCCUGAAGUCCGUGACCGCGAGGGUCGGCCUAGGGUGAAACCGGUGAUUGGGGCU